UCAAGUGUUUUUAGGGGUUUUAAGGUUGUUUUUAGGCUUUAAAUGGAUAAUACACCCUUACAAGUGAGUGUCAGCCGUGUGUCCCUCGUGAGUGUAUCAGAGACGUCAUCAUAUAUCAUUGAAGACACACUAACCUGAUAAAAGAAAUGCAUAAAAAAGCACAGAUAAAAAAGAAAAGAGUUUAUCCUCUAGUUUAACAAAAAUAGUUUAGCAUUAUCAUCAUUCAGGCUUAUACAAGGUUAGAGUUUUCUUAAUGUUACGUAAAUAUGUCGAUCAUUAUUCAGAUUACCAGUCAUUGUUGAGUACUUAAACCCUUCAGUACCAGAACGCGUUUUCAUAUUCAUUCUGCUUACUAUAUGGCGAUUUUACACAGCUUCAGAAACUUAGGUUGGGAUUGAAAUAAUGAAGACACUGGCCAUUAAUCUUCUGACCUCCAUAGACCCUUCCUAAUGUAAAUAAAAAUCGUCUAAUCAUACCAAGAAUUCAAGAUAAAAGUGCGUUUCAGUGCUGAAGAAAUUAAUGACACAGAGUUCGAGGAUCCGAAACCAAUCUCAAGUUUCAGUAACGCGACACUUACACCCAGCAUGCAAUAUCACUGGUGUGUAUUUGACGUAUUGGUAUAUCCACAAUUCAAUUUUCAUUUAUAGUUCCUAAAAUAAUAAGAAGUGGCCGCAAGUUAGGAGCUGGGUAUGUACAUAAUACGUUAACUAAGCUUCACGAUCCCAGCCGGCGACCCUCCCCACCCCCGCAGCCGCCCUGCCAGCCACAGCCAGUCACCGGUGAGGCAGCGAAAGAGAGGAGUGUGAACGGCGUGGUGGUGGGACGAGAGGACAAGGAGGCGAUCAUGUACCUGGCGGACCAAGCAAGGCUGCAGUGGAGACCAGACUGCAGGUGAUCGUGUUCGUCAAUUAACAUGAAAGUGGUCAGAUCGUGUUAUCAAGAUGCAGCCAAAGACUUGAUUUAUCUUCCAGCCAUUUCCACUUUUGGAAGAUGCCAACACCAUUACCACCACCUUCGAACUUACUCCACAGGAGUGACAGGACACAGUUACUGAGUUUUGGUUAUAUGCGUGUAAGUAAGUAUAAGGUACUUCUGGG